rnacentral:tRNA from 1 species
GGUCCUGUAGCUCAAAGGAUUAGAGCACGUGGCUACAAACCACGGUGUCGGGGGUUCGAAUCCCUCCUCGCCCA